UCAUUGACAAAGAAGACGGUCAGAGAAGAGGAAGCCAUUUUGGGAUGCUAUUAUUUAACGGUGGUUAUUGAAUUCUUGGCCAAUGCUCUUUUUAGUUUGCUUCCUCAAAUCAUCUGGGGUGCAGUUGGGCCAGUUAAUCUUGAAAAUAUCGUCCCACGCCUUCAUUACCGUGCCUAUUCAUUCGUGUUUACAAGAAUUGCUUUCCUAUGUGAUGAAGGUCCAGAUGAUGACAUUUUGUGGUUUCGCAGAAAAUUGGGAUCCCACAAAGUCUUCAUCAAUUCUCUGACAUAUUUGGUUAAUCCAUAGGACGCUCUUUCAUUGUAUGGUGUAUUCCUGGUUUUUCUUAGGUGGACCUUCCGUUUCAAAAUUUCUUCAUCUACAUUGUGCUGUAGCUUCUAAACUACUAACAAUUCUUCCCAGAUUGCCAUUAUUAAAAUUAACUUUGCUUCACCAAUGAAAAUCCUUAGAAUAAAACGGAACAGACAAACUGAAAAGCGAAAAGACUGAAGUUUUCAAACUGACGAGACGAACGUUGAAGUUGAACCUGUGUUUUCGAGGUUUUUUUUAGUUUGAUCAUGAAGGAGGAAUGGAGGAGGAGCUAGUCGGGAAAAUUUUUGAGGCGAUGAUGAUAUCUGCCUCAGGGGAAGGAUUCGUUCCUUUUUCUGCAACCAGAGGCGGAAGAGUAGCGAAGUAUGUGAAAAUCUGGGCUUUCGCUGGGUCGUAUCAAGUAGCUAAGAUCUCAGCGCAACUCAGCUUGGAUCACAACUUGAUACAUUUUCUCUCGUCUGCUCAGUGAUUUAAAUCGAUACAUAUAUCGUCUUGCAGCCAGCUUUUAUAGUGACGCUCUUUUUGUUUUUGAAACAUGGCGAUUUCUCAACAGCCACGCAUAUUGACAAUUGCUACGGUCAUAAGUGAAGUGAUACAACAGAAUACUGAUGAAUGUGAUGUUAUUUGUCACGAGUUCAGCCAACCUCUUAUUGCUUAACAAGACAUUUUAAAUUCAGGGCGAGAUGGUACAAGUCAAUUCACUGGGAUUGAAGACUAUAUCGAUAGCUAAGCAAAUUCUUACAAUAUAUAUAUUAUUUUUUCCAUUCUCCGUAAUGAAAUGCUUCUAAAAAAAUGUAACUUCUUCUUUAUUUAUACUUUUAUAUUUAUAGUUGCAUUUGCAUUUCAUGUAUUUAUUUGAAAACAAUUUAAAUUUUGCAGCAUUUCAUAUUUCCGCUUUUAUAUUGACUUCGUCUGCUUGGCAGUAAAAACUCCCUGUAUAUCAGUGAUCCAAGCUGAGAUCUUAGUUACUUGACGAGUAACCUGA